CUUGUGAAAAUGGUGGUACCUGUUCACCAACUGACAACAGUUACAGCUGUAAUUGUUCUACUGGAUAUCUGGGUCAACUCUGUGACGUGGCUGUCUGUGAACCUAAUCCUUGUGACAAUGGUGGUACGUGUUCACCAAUUGACAACAGUUACAGCUGUAAUUGUUCUACUGGAUACUUGGGUAAACUCUGUGAAGCUGCACAUGAUCUGUGUAUAACACUCGGCAGAACUUCAAAGAGAAUGUAGUAGUGGUCAGUGUAUCAUACUAUGACCUGACAAUGACAUCCAAGGAAAUAUGCAGUGUAGUUACAGACAUCAUAAUUUCAUAAAUAAACAAUACCGUAUAUGGUGAUCACUACUGUCCAUCUUCCCUAUAUUGUAAG